rnacentral:rRNA from 1 species
GACGAACGCUGGCGGCGUGCUUAACACAUGCAAGUCGAACGGAAAGGCCCUGCUUUUGUGGGGUGCUCGAGUGGCGAACGGGUGAGUAACACGUGAGUAACCUGCCCUUGACUUUGGGAUAACUUCAGGAAACUGGGGCUAAUACCGGAUAGGAGCUCCUGCUGCAUGGUGGGGGUUGGAAAGUUUCGGCGGUUGGGGAUGGACUCGCGGCUUAUCAGCUUGUUGGUGGGGUAGUGGCUUACCAAGGCUUUGACGGGUAGCCGGCCUGAGAGGGUGACCGGCCACAUUGGGACUGAGAUACGGCCCAGACGCCUACGGGAGGCAGCAGUGGGGAAUAUAGCACAAUGGGCGGAAGCCUGAUGCAGCAACGCCGCGUGCGGGAGGACGGCCUUCGGGUUGUAAACCGCUUUCGCCUGUGACGAAGCGUGAGUGACGGUAAUGGGUAAAGAAGCACCGGCUAACUACGU